rnacentral:rRNA from 1 species
CCCGGGAACUACGAGCCAAGCUUAAAACCCAAAGGACUUGACGGUACCCCAUAUCCCCCUAGAGGAGCCUGUCCUAUAAUCGAUAACCCCCGUUUAACCUCACCAUUUCUAGCAACUCAGCCUGUAUACCUCCGUCGUCAGCUUACCACGUGAGCGCUAGUGAGCUCAAUGUUUUUUCAACUAAACGUCAGGUCAAGGUGCAACACAUGAAGUGGGAAGAGAUGGGCUACACUUUCUAUAAUAGAUCACACGGAAGACUAACUAUGAAAUCUAGUCAGAAGG